ACUCCCUCCGUCCCAUUUUAGUUGUCACAUUUCCUUUUUUGUUGGUCAAAUUGACUAACUUUUGACCAAAGAUUACAAGUCGCUCUUUCAUGAUUUUAAGAAACCGAAAACUACAUCUUAAAGUAGAUUAAAAAUUAUUUCCGAUGACAUAUUUUUCUUAUUUUUUCAAUUGAUAAAAUAUUAGUAAAUUUCAGUCAAACUUUGGUCAAUUUGACCGGCACAAUACCAAAUGUGAC
rnacentral:lncRNA from 1 species